UGUCAAUAUGAUCAAAAUUUAAAUGAACUAACUAAAUCCCUAUCUAAUAUAGCUAUAUUUUAAACGACCCAAGAAUUGGCCAAAGUAACCCUUUCUUAUUCUUAAUUUUGGGCCACAAUAGCAGCCCAACAAGUCAACAACAUCAGCAGCCCAACAGCAGCACACCGCCCAACCCAACAGCAGCACACCGCCCAACCCAAUGUGGAGGUAACCCGACCCAAAUUUCUUUUACCCUUUUGACUCAUUUUCCACCUUAACAGCACAUAACACCAACAAUACACCGACACACAAACACGUACAGCAAUGACAUUCAACAGCGUACAAAUAUCGAACAAAACAACAAUGUCAAACGGCAAAACCAAAACCACGACAACAAUAUUCAACAAUUCACCAACGACGUAAUAGCAAUACAACGUCAACAACAACAAAACCAAUGAACGACGUCCAUCCCCAAAACCCAGCCACGUCAUAUCUGUUUUUUUAGCUCGUCCAACCCUUUGAAACCUACAGUGGCAGGGAAACAGUCCCCAAAUUGUGAAACAACAAAAAGUUGCUCUGAAAUCGUCAUUAAUUCAAGAUAUUGUGGAGAUUUUUUGUUGAAUUGGAAUUCAAAUUCCAUCCUUUUGCAAAAAUUAUUUUUUCAAAUCCGGAUCUCAUCUAUAAAUAGCCCCUCCCUCACCAUGGAAAAAGAAGAUUUUUUGGGGAAAAACUUGGAGAUUCUGGAGGCGCACGUUUCUAAAACCGAAAAUCUUCGAGGAACGUUCAAGACAAAAAUCAAAAUUCGAUGAUUGCUGGAAUUUCAGUGAUCGAAAUCGAGCCUAGGUUGUGGAAUUUCGGUCGUUAAGCUCGUUUGUCCCUUGUUCCUGCCCUAAAACAGAUCAAAACCUUAAAGUCCUAAAAGCUCUAUUUUUGCAUCAGUAUACAGUGAUAUACAUGCUGAUAUACAUAAAUAACAGCUGCAGAAAAAGGAAAAUGGAAAAGGAAGAUGAUUAUACAUGGAGGAAAUUAAGUUUGUGUGUAUAUAACUGAAAUAUGGUCAUACAUACACCGUAUAUAUACGAAAACACAGGAAAAGGGGGCUGAUAUACAUGUGGUAUACAAUGCAGAAAAAUGGAGCUAAAUUCCAUAAGAUUAAAAGCCCAAAGGUUGGGCAAGCUAAAGGGGCCCAAUUCCCAACUCUUUAUCUUUAUUCUUUUGUAAUUAUUAAGUAUAAAUAACAUAAAUAAUAACCCUUUUGGAAGAAA